GUAGUCAUUUUCUUUUCUCGGAAAAAAGAGAAGAUAAAAAUUUAAUGUUAAGUAAAAAAAUCACCUGGCGAUGAGGUUAAGAUUCUGAAUAUCAUGUCCAAAAACUGAAGAGUUGUUGAUGAGUUGAAGAUGAGCAAAAAGUGAAUUUUCCGAGGAAUCUAAGGCUACAGAUGUGAUUAAGUAACCAUAGCCAACUUGUUGUUAAGCUUCUUGAUCUUUGAUGGAUAUUGCAGAAUGGGGCGAAAAGAUUGAUAAGUGGACCAAAAGAAAGACUAAAAAAAAGGUGUUUCUAAGUAAAGAUGGAAAUUGUGUUGGUUUCAUUUUCUCUACCGAGGAAGAAGAAUACAAUCUCUUCUGCCUUUGGGUAAGUGGUCAUUUUAUGUUUGGUUUAGUGGAAAAACUAAACGUCACUUUCCAGUUUCCAAGCCUUUAGGCUCUGGUCCUAUUGUUUGUCUUCUCUGGAAUAAUUAUUGAGUAGUGUAAGGUGGUAAAGAAGAAAAUUUUAUAAAUUUAGGGGACGCUUAUGACUUUAACCGAAUUCUUGUUUGCUUCUUCAAUCAAUAAUUAGAGCCCUUGAUCAGUUGUUUCGGUAUAAUUUUGAAAUAUUUUGAUUCGAUUAUUUGGUUUUUGAUUUUUAAAAAUUGUUAUACUAAGAAAUGUAUUUUAAAAAAAAAUGCUGAAGAUCUGUGUAAGAUAACUAAUCUCUACGGAGGAAGAAGAGUUCAUUCUCUUCUUAAUUUUUUAAUAUUUAAAUUUGAAAAGAAAAUCUGAUUUAGAUUAUUAUUUAAAAAUUAAAAAUUAGUUGCACAUUUUAAAACAUACUGUUUUUAUUCUUUAACUUUGAACCAUGAAGACCAAAUUCUAUAUUUAAAAGAGCUUUAUUUAAUUCAAAUUUCAGAUAUAUUUAUUUUAAUAAAAUUAACUUAUUUUAAAACAUAUAUCUUCAAAUUUUAACUGAUUUUAACAUACGUUGCUUAAUCUUUAACUUUAAAAAAUAUAUUGAUUUAGAUUAUUAUUUACAAAUUAAAAACUACACAUUUAGAACCCACAUUUCCGAAUAUUAAAGAUUUCUUUAUUUUAAAAAAUUAAUUGAUUUUAAAGCAUACUUUUAUUAAUCUUUAAAUUUAAAAAGCAAAUCUGAUUAAGAUUAUUAUUUUUGAAACAUUAAACUUUAAAAAGCACGCUUGCUCAACUUUUUUUUUUGGUCAAAAAGAAAUUUUGUAUUUCAACUAGUAUAAAUGUACAUCAAUUGUUCUUUGGGACUAUAGAACAAAUCUCAAAACUUGAUCAACUAUCUACUCUACAACCAUAAAGUUGUUUAACUAACUCCUAACAUACAAAAAUGUGAAUAUAUUCAAGGAGUACAUUGUAGAUAGCAAUUUAAGUACUGUAAGGUGGGCUUCCAUUUUGGCUUCUUCAGUCCAGUGAUGUGCACCUGGAUUGCGAUCUGUCGUGCUCUGUCUGUAGCUUCUUUGCUCGACUGUCUAAAUCUUCUUUCAUUCCUUUCCAUCCAAAUAUUGUAUACAACUGCUGCAAACAUCACUCCUAAAAUGGUUUUCCUUGGUUUUAUGUUGUUUACUCUAGCAGAGACCCAUUGCACCUCUAGCUCCCAGUUGUUUAGCAAUAUGUUGAAGUUCAGCCACUUCAAUAAUCCUUGCCACAGUGAUUGGGAAUAAGAGAAGUCAAAAAACAGGUGGUCGUGUGUCUCAACAGUGUCACUCCCACACAGUGAACAAGACUGAUCAAUGUGGAUACCCCACUUUUCUAACCUGUCAACUGUUGCCAAACGUCUAUGCAAUGUCAUCCAUAAUAUGAACUUCUAUUUUGGCAGUAGUCCAGGCACCAACACCAAUUUUUUCCAGGGGACUUUGGGGUACUGUAGAAUAGAGUGAAUAUAGGCUCUCUUAAUACUGUAUCUUCCAUUCUGGCAGCAUGCCUGCAUUGCUGCCCAGUCGUGUGCCCACCAUUCCCUUGCUCCAAAUAUUUUCCUCACCAACCAGCUAGCCUGCUUUGGUGUUUCCAUGGUAUCAACUACUUUUUUCUUUAUAUAAUGACAGUGGAUCCAUUUGAUCCAGAGUUUAUAUUUCUUUGCAUUAGAGCCCAUAGCAGCUUUGACAGGGCUGCUUUGUUCCACCUCUCAUAGCAAAUGACAUUCAAGCCUCCAGCUGCCUGUGGUUUACAUACUGUUUCCCAAGCUAUGGGGGCCCUAUGACUUGUCUCAUGAUUUCCAGUCCAUAAGUAGUUUCUGCAUAUUCCAUCAACCAGCUUGAUGACUUUCUUUGGAAGAAGAAAGACCUGGGCCCAGUAGGUUUGCAUUUCAAAUAGAACACUCUUGAUCUGUUGGAGUCUUCCACAUAUUCCAUCAACCAGUUUGAUGACUUUUUUUGGAAGGAGAAAGACCUGGGCCCAGUAGGUUUGCAUUUCAAAUAGAACACUCUUGAUCAGUCGGAGUCCUCCAGUAAGUUGAACACGCUUGCUCAACUUACCAUAACAAAAGCACGCUUCCUAAAAAAUCGGACUGCCCUUGCGCCCCUUUUCCAGUUCUUAACAGUUCUGAGUUGUAUUUAAUUAUCUAAUUUUUAAUGUUUUUGUUAGUAAUAGAAUUCUAUUUAGAGUGACUAUUUAUUUUGUAGAGAGUUUUACUUUGAGGCUAAGUCAUUUUUCCUCCUAUAAAUAGAGGGGUCUUACCCUAUUGUAAAUCACCCCAAAAUUCAAUAAUAAUUUUCUCUCUCUCUUUCUCUGCAACAUUGCUCUUGUUCUCUUAUUAUUUUAUAACACGUUAUCAGCACGAUCUUCCAUAACCAUCAUCGCACCAGCUCCCACCAACGACCAAUCCAACCAGCAAACAGCCCAAGCGAUCCACCCGCCAUUUUUGUCGACAUCCAGCCCCAAACCAGUCGACCAUCUUUCACGACCAGUCCUCCACGACCUGCGUCGCCAACCAGCAGCAACAGCCAUUGUCGCUGCUUCACUUCUGCUCCUCACACCCAGUUGUUGUCUCGUCGACCACCAGUUAGCCCGUCGCCCAGCGGACAGCCCUUUGCCAGUUUCAUCAUCGUCACGUCCAAACGACCAUCGUCCAGUAGCGUCGCUUCUGCUGUAUACACAGUAGCAUCUCUUCUACACCCAACUGCUGUCUCGUCGACCACCAGUCAGCCCGUCGCCCAGCGGACAGCCCUUCGCCAAUCUCAUCGUCAUCUCCCUCACCCUGCAACCUGCUUCCUCCGAACGACCAACCUCACUGCCUGAAACCAUCCCGCCACCGCUGCCUCCAAACGACCAAGCUCACUGCCCAUCUCCAGCCCGUCAACCUUACGUUGACAGUCUUGGUUCGAGUUUCCCGUUUUCGUUGAGGUCAUCGUUUGUUCAUCGAGGUCCGAAUUACGGCUUGGAAUGUCAGUCUUAAAUUUAGGAGGACGUUCAUGAAGAAUAUUACGCUUAUCUCCAUAAGAGGGGCUCACGCAAAUCUUCAAAACUGCAACCUGCUUCCUCCGAACGACCAACCUCACUGCCUGAAACCAUCCCGCCACCGCUGCCUCCAAACGACCAAGCUCACUGCCCAUCUCCAGCCCAUCAACCUCACGUUGACAGUUUUGGUUUGAGUUUUCCGUUUUCGUUGAGGUCAUCGUUUGUUCUUCGAGGUCCGAAUUACGGCUUGGAAUGCCAGUCUUAAAUUUAGGAGGAUGUUCAUGAAGAAUAUUACGCUUAUCUCCAUAAGAGGGGCUCACGCAAAUCUUCAAAACUAUGGCUUUGGAUACAUGCACGAUGCUCGAAUUUGCUCCAUUCUCAUUCCAUAUAGAGAGUGUGAUAGCAGUAUGUGAUAAGUCUAAAAGAAGAUAAAAUUAUUACCGUAAAGGUAUCAAUGGAUGUGGACGUGACAAUAGACGAAAUUCUAAUCGUCAACAUUGUGAUAAUGAAGAUAAUAAGGAUUCUCAAAAUAAUCCUUCACUCUGUGAAAGUAAUAUGUCAUCAAUUUGACAAUAUGAGAUUUUAUAAAGCACAUAUAGAUAAUUAUGGUCCAUUCAUGAUGUGAGUGUGAUAACAUCUAAUUUAUGAGUACAUAUUCAUUCUUGGAAGAAUAUGAACGUGCUAGUGGUAUUGAAUAUACCACACUCGCCUCUAGAAGGAUGUUUGAGAUGAUAUAAGAAAAUAAUGUAAUUUUUAUGACAUGAAUGGUCAUUGAUCACGUACCUAUUGUACGCCAAAAUAUUUUGGUAAUGUGAUNNNNNNNNNNNNNNNNNNNNNNNNNNNNNNNNNNNNNNNNNNNNNNNNNNNNNNNNNNNNNNNNNNNNNNNNNNNNGCAAUAAACAUAUCUUGCAUAUAAUUUUGACCAUGACCAUAAUGGUACAACUUUCUCUUUAAAAAAAAUAUCCACUAUAUGGAUAUUGAUUAAUAUGUGAUAGUACCAAAUUAAUUAAGAACUCUGUAAGAGCCAAUUAUAUUUUUUUGGAGAAACACAAUUGAUUACCAAUAAGGUAUUGUGUUGUAGUAAGUCUCAAAGAAACUUAUUCAGUUUCCAUAGUAUAUGCGAAAGUGAUUGAUUGUAUUGAGACUAUAAAUAAAGGAAAGAUUUGAAAUCUUCUACUACUACAACUUGUAGCGGAAUAAUAUGUAUAUGAAAAGCUACCCGCUUUAUUCUCAAGUUUGUACUACACAAAAAAAGAAUGCCACAAUAAAGUGGAUGUUUAUUGAUAUAAAAAUCCAUAUCAUAAUAAACUUGGAGUUUAUUGAUAAUUUCACACGUUAUGGUGUAAAUAUGAAGUUUAUCAAUAUUGAUAAUUUACUCAGUUGGCAUAAUUGGUUUAGCCAUAUCAAUUUAGAGGAAAAUUAGGAACUUGAAGUUCAUAAGUUUGAUUCAUUUGGUUUUAGGGGGUGACUCCUAGAUUUAGCGUUGUUUUGGGUGUUCCAAAGAUUCGAGUAGGUCCGUCUCGUGAUUUCAUACUUGUCGGUAUGUUCGGGUAGGCCCGGGAGCCCCGAGCAUCAAGCGGACGAGGCUCGAGUUAAGUGGAAAACGGCCCAGGCCAUGCCAGGAAAGAACCGUAGAAGUGGCUUCGUAGAUUCAGGCCUUAGACCGCCGGAGAAGUCCCAGACCUUUGCCAAAUUUCGCAGGUGCGGCCCAUCUUUCGCAAAUGCGGGACCGCACCUGAUCGCAGAUGCGAAAAUUGCUAGACAGUGAGGUUCAUUUAAUACGAGUUCAAGACUAUUUUUAUCACAUUUAUACUCUUCCUUUGGGCGAUUUGGGAGCUCUUGAGAGAAGGUCUUCACUUAGCAUUGUAAGGUAAGUCCAUUCCACCUAUCUUUAGUUUAAAUACUUGCAUAUUAGGUAGAUUAAACACUAAAAAUUAGGUAAAAUCAAGGGUUAGAGCAAGACCUAGGGUUUUAAUAAAACUUAGAUUUAACCACGAAAUUUGAUAUGAUAUGAACUAGAAAUCAUAAAUUAUUGAUCCUCAGGUUUUUGGGAAAAACUUUCUUCGAAAAAUUUUGGAAUCCGCGCACGUGCGCUCGAGGUCGGAAUUUAGAAAACUCGUGUUAAUGGUUGGAAAAUUGCUUAAAUAGCUAGAACUCGAUCUUGUGAGCCUAUAUUAAUUAGUUCUUACUUUAUUUAACUAAUUUGGGAUCGUUUGGCUCCGAAUUGAGGGUUUGGGCUCGUUCUUGGCAUUUGAAGUACUCUUUGGAGCGGGGUAAGUCUCCUUUCUAACCUUGUAAGAGGGAAUUGUCCUCAUAGGAAUAAUAAUUGAGUAAUUGUUGCUAAAUGCGGGGGCUACAUAUGUACUAGAUGACGAGAGUUCGUGCGUAGAUACUAUUAUGUUAAUUGUUCGGGUAGUUUAGGACCCACAUCAUGCUAUAUUUGUGAAUAUCUCUAUAUUAUCUUGCUAAUAUGAUCACUUAGGAUAUGCUAGAGACUAAAAGGGAAUAAGAGGGAACAUUUAUACUUGUUGAACUCUUGCAUGACAUUAUUGAAUAUUAAUGUGCCUUCGUGUGCAUUCUUGAUAUUUCUUAUUAUUUGUGGAUUAGGCCGAUCGCCUCGGUAUGAAUAGAUGCAUCUAUGGUUCGCGCCAUCGACCCUCGACACUGCACGAUUUAUUUCUGUUAGGUCGGGUCAUCGCCCCGGUAUAAUGUGCGCAUGAUAUCUAUGUGAUGACUCAUACUUGAAUUGUUUUGCUAAUAUUUCGAAAUGUACAUAGCAAAUUGGAAUAUUGUGAAGAACAUGAUUUAUACUUCUUGUUAUAAACUAUUGAUUAUUAGUGAUUUCCAUGCUUAACAUAAAACUUUGAUAUAUUAUUUGACCCUAGUAAAUAUCAAGUCGACCUCUUGUCUCUACUUCAUUGAGAUUAGACGGGAUACUUACUGGGUAACAUAUUGUUUAUGUACUCAUACUACGCUUCUGUACUUAGUUGUACAGGAUCUGAGGCAGGUACAUCUGGCUACCAGUCUGGUGCACGCCGUUGAGUUAUAGACCGAGACUUCCAUGGUGAGCUUCUUCCUUCCUAUGCCGUUCAGCAGUUGGAUGGAGUCUUUACUUAUUUUUGCUGUCUUUUCUAUCCUAGACAGUAGGAUAGAGACACUCUUUUGAAUAUUCUAUUAGAUGCCUAUUACUUGUGACACCAGGUCUUGGCACACACAUUAGUAGACAUUUAUUUUUGGGUUGUAUUAUCAUUUUCGAUACUUCAG
rnacentral:lncRNA from 1 species